AGUGAAAAUCUCAUAAGCGAAAUCGGAGAAAAUGGAUUCCACCACUCAAAUACCGGUCAAGAAAAACCCUAAGAAGGCCAAUCUUUUGGAUCAUCACUCAAUCAAGAGCCUUCUGGAUGAGUCUGUCACUGAGAUUGUUACAAGCAAAGGAUACCCAGAAAAUGUGAGAUUGAGUAACAUCAGGUUAUUGAUUGGUUCAAUCAUAAUCGCAAUUGCUCUUGUUGCUCAGUUCUACAAGAAGGAUUUUCCUGCUAAUCGCGAUUUUCUCAUUGGAUGCAUUGUGUUGUAUAUCUUGUUUAAUGUGAUAUUACAGCUGAUUAUCCACACAAAGGAAAAGAAUGCAAUUUUGUUCACCUAUCCUCCGGAGGGAUCUUUUAACAGCACUGGCUUGGUUGUCUCAUCAAAGCUGCCUAGAUUCUCCGACAUGUACACACUUACAGUAGAAAGUGCUGAUCCCAAGUCCAUUUCUGCGAGGCCAAAAGUUGAAUUUACCAAGAGCGUCACAAAAUGGUUUGCCAAAGAUGGAGUUCUAGUUGAGGGCCUAUUCUGGAAAGAUGUUGAAGCCUUAGUUAACGAUUAUGCUAAGGAACACAAAAAGAGCAAAUAGAUUCAAUUUCAAACAUUUUGAUAGGAAUGUGGAUGGCAUGGAUAGCCAAUGAGAUUGAAAACAUCGGUUUAUGACUUACUGGAUUAAUAUCAUCUAUAUCAUUGUUGAAG
rnacentral:misc_RNA from 1 species